rnacentral:rRNA from 1 species
UGCGGUCUUCGCAAGGGCCCUAGUAUUCCUGAGUCUGGCCAACCUUGUAAGCGUACACUGCUACCAGUUAGACGAUCAGCAGUGGGCACAGUGGUUGGAGUCAGCCAGCAAUGGUCGGCUCCUUCUACGAAGCAAUUGUUUGUGUGGGUUAGUAGUAGUGCGGUUGUGCUUCGGUGCUUCUCGUGUAGCUGGGCCCAUGCAAGUGAACUACAGCUGAAUACUGACUGGCGAAAUGAAAAUCACCUUUUAGGUGUUAGAGACAAAGCAGCUAGCCAGACGUGGGCCUACACGGUCGACUGUUAGGUCUAAGCUUGGCGCUCUUGAAUUCAGACUUGCUUGCUACCAGUGGGGCAACUCCUGGUGCUUGUAUAGCUUCUGUCUAAUCGGGCGUCGACUUGGCUUGGCAUUGUUCGGUCGUGCUACGAUAGGGUUUGCGUUUGAGUUGGUUUGCAAUGUGAAU